rnacentral:rRNA from 1 species
UGCGUAGGCGGCCAGAUCAGUCAGGCGUGAAAGUUUUCGGCUUAACCGGAAAAUUGCGUUUGAUACUGUUUGGCUAGAAUCAGGAUGAGGUUGGCGGAAUGUGGCAUGUAGCGGUGAAAUGCAUAGAUAUGCCAUAGAACACCGAUUGCGAAGGCAGCUGACUGGACCUGAAUUGACGCUGAGGCACGAAAGCGUGGGGAGCGAACAGGAUUAGAUACCCUGGUAGUCC